ACAUUCUACAUCUCCUCCGCAAGAGGUCUGAUCCAGAUUCGGUAAUUUUAUACGAUACCGCGUUUUCUCGUAUCUUCAUAAUUUUGGAUAACAUAGAUUUUCGUCCUUUUUGACUGCGGAAGGGAGCCUGAGUCUGAAAACAAAAUUUGGUUGCUCUAGCUCUUAUAGUCUCUGAGAUCUGGGCGCUCAACAAGACGGAUGCUGAUCAAGAAUAUACAUAUAUACUUUAUGUGGUCGGAAACGUUUCCUUCUGGGAGUUACACUCAUCCACUUUGACCACAAAUAUAGUACAUAUACCCCGUAACUCUUUUAGUACCAGGUAUAAAUUCGACUUUGUCCAUAUUUUCUUAUGUAAAUUAAUGAUAUUUAGAGUAAAUUCAAAUUUAUUUAAAGUUUUAUUUGUGUAAACGAACAUACAUAUGUAAGUAAAUGUACACAUGUACAUAGUAUAUAUUAGGUAGCUUAUAUUAGGUAGAUGUGGAUGCAGAUAUAUGUAAAAAUAUACAUACGUUGUUUUUUAUGAAUUCACUAUCAAUACCAACACCGAAUUUUAGACAAAUAACAUGAGAUGUCUUAAAUACGGGUAUUAAAACAGUAAUAUAGAUAAUUUAUUUAUAGUCUAUAAUUUUAUCAAUAUCAAUAUUUUAUCGAUAGCCGGUAGAACGAUGAAUUUUCGACAGAUGUGACCACUGGCACCAUUCAUCAUCUAUGCAAGCACAGCUAAUGACAAUAACAAAAAAAAAAUAUUUACUCCGAAUUUUUAAUUUUAGCAAGUUUAAGUUAAAAAAUUGGCGAUUUGAUGGACAAUGAUAAAACUAUGUCCAAUAUAACGUUAUAGGCUUUACACAUUAAGCAAAUCCCGGAGGAACGGUGGAAAUUCUUAACAGAUGUGAAGCACCAAACAAUGCCAUCUGCACACUGAGCCCAUCCCGGGGGAACGGUGGGAAUUUUUGAAAGAUGUGAAACACCAAUUCACACUGAGACCAUCCACCAUUGAUGAGAAAUAGCUGAUGCUCACAAUUGCGUGCGGUGAAAAUUUGUAAACUUUAUAGUUAAAAUUAAUAUAAAUAAAUAACAUUGCAAUGGUUGUGAAUGUGAUUCAGCAGCAAAACAUAUUCUUGCACAAGCUAAUCAUGUUGCUGGACAUGAUGAUGAUGAUGAGGACAACUUUGACGAGGUGGAGAUAAUAGAAUAGAUAUCUGUUUGGAAAACACUGAAGCCAGGAAGGUUUUGGUCAUUUAAGCGGUUCGGUUUAUUUUGGGAGAAGGAUGUAUCCGAAAACAAAGAGGCGUUCUUUAAGGAAAUUUGUAGAAUGAACAGGUCCUGUUUUUCUCUGUUGGUUACUCGCCUGGAAGUACUACGGAAGAAGGACACAAACUGCCGAGCCGCAAUUCCUCUGGAGAAGCGUAUCGCCAUAGCUUUAUAUUCUUUGGACUCUUCUUCUGAGUACCGAACAGUCGGUAGGCUUUUGGACGUGUCAGCCAACAGCGUCUGCAAUAUCCUGCAUGAGUUUAGCAGGGCAUUGAUAAAAGAAUUCUCAGAAGAAUACAGGUCUUCAUACUAUCUCACUUCCGAGCAAAUUGACGAGUGUGUCGAAGGAUUUGAAGAAUUUGGGUUUCCUCAGUGCCUAGGUGCAAUUGAUGGAUGUCACAUUGAAAUAAAACCACCUGCAGCUGAGGCAGUCGACCACCACAAAUAUUAAGGCUGGUAUUCAACCGUAUUAUUUGCAAUGGUAGACUACAGCUAUAUCUGAAUAUCUUUACAUAUGUAAACAUCGGCUCCGCAGGAAGAUGCAACGACUCAAUGAUAUACCAAAAGUCAAGCCUCGGCAAGCGUAUCGAAUAGUCGCCUUUGCUAGAGGAAAAAGCUAAGGAAAUUAGCGGAGUGAAGGUUCCAGUAAUGCUGAUUGGGGACUCGGCAUCCAGGUUCUCAAAAAGCUUAUGAAGCCGUACCCAUUUUCCGCGUCUUUAGAACAGCGCACUUUUAAUUACAACCUUUCCAAAGCAAGGCGUGUUGUGGAAAAUGCGUUUGGGCAUUUUAAAGCCAGAUUCCGCAUAAUUGAAAAAUGCCUGGAUAGCCAUCAUAAAAACCACAGUGCCAUUAUAUUGUAUUGUUGCAUCUUUCACAACAUGUUAAACAUGCACAACAGCACAACUAAUGAAUGUUGGGAACUUCUUUUAAGUGAGCAGAGAGAACAGCCCGAUAGCAGAAAUAUUUCUGCUGAUUAUAUUCAUUCAUCACAACAGAUACGAUCUGCAAUUGCAACAUAUUAAAUAGAAUAAAUAUAUAAUUCAGUAUCACUUCAACCUCCCUGGAGAUAAGACGUGCUACCGAAAACCCAGCUUCGCGCGAACUCAAAAGCUUAUCAGCAAAAUCGCGAUAAACAACAACAACUUUAACUCAAUUCGUAAAACAGAAACACAAAAACAAGCACACAGCAUCGGCCUCUUCCUGUAUGGUAAAGCUCCUAAAUCCACCAUUAACAAAAUAAACCCAAUAGUAAACUGCGCGCUCAGAGCAGCCUUUGGCGCUUACCGUACUUCACCCUCCAGAAACCUCAUGUCUGAAGCGAAUAUCGCCCCCCUCGACCAACGUUAUACGUUCUCAAAAACCAAACUUUUUAAAUCACUUCACAAUAGUUCAGAUACCCCUUUUGCCAAAUUCCUGACCAAAACAGCACUAAAAAAACAGAACCACAUCCUCAGUCUUAGAUUUCCUUAUCAACAAGUGUAGACAACUCAAAAUACCUCUUGGUCCAAUCAGGAGAAGAAAGGAAACGCCAUACUGGUUAUUUAAAAAAAAUUCUGUCGACCUCACACUUCGACAAUAUACAAAAACCGACACAAACAACGUAGUAUACCAAACUGCCUUUCUCUCCAUUAGAGAAUCUUACUCGGACCGCAAAUUUAUCUAUACCGAUGGGUCAGCCACGGACAUCUCUAUUACUUUUGCAAUUUCCACAGAAAUGUCUAUUCUUUGUUUAGGUAGACUACCCAACUAUUCUUCCGUCUUUUCUGCAGAGAUCAUAGCAAUUGUAGAAGCAAUCGAACUAGUUAGAAAAACCCCAGGAAAGUUCAUCUCAGAUUCCCUGUCCUCAUUAGAUGCAAUAGUAAACACCAACAACAGAAGCUUCUACCCCGCUCUUGUUAGAACUCUUCUCGCACAGAAUAAAAACAAAACUUUUAUGGAUACCUGGAGCCAAAACAGCACACUCCCUUCCCUCAAUUAACACCAUUAACUUCAACAAAAAAGACAUAGACCAAUACAUAAAAAAGAUGUUUCAAGAGGAGAAGCUCCAAUUUAUGAACGCCACAUCAGACAGGUACCGCACCAUCUCACCCCCAUCCUCCACACUCCAACCACUUUUCCGAUAUCUCAAUUUAACCCGAACAGACCAAACCAAAAUAACCAGACUACGCAUCGGACACUCGAAACUAACUCACGAACACUACCUUAAUUCCAAAAUGAACAGCAAUUGCCAACUAUUGCAAAAAUCUUCAUCCUCAAAUAUUCACCACAUCAUGUGCUGCGCUAUCCAAACAUAGACAUAACAUAUUCUCCAACAAGAACCCCAUUACGUUACUACAAAAACCUACCCAACCCAAUCUACAACUGAUUUGUCAUUUCUCAAAUAUGCUGACAUAUACCAUAAAGUUUAAUGUAAAUAUAUAUGGGAAAAUAAUAAUUUACUAUAAAAUAAUUGUAAACCCUCUCCCCCUAUCAUAAGCGUAUCUAAUGUAAAUACAGUCUCACUUUAACUAUCCUAAUUAAUACGUAAUAUAAAAUAUAAUAUAAUAAGUAGCUAAAGGCCAGAGCAGCCAAAGCUUCAUCUUUCUACUAAGGGUCCUAAUCUAUGCUUAUAACUCUGUAUAUAUUAAUAAAUAAUAAAUAUAUAAUAACUUAAAUUUAAAGAGAAAAAAAAAUGUACUU